UACGUAGGGUGCGAGCGUUGUCCGGAAUUACUGGGCGUAAAGAGCUCGUAGGUGGUUUGUCGCGUUGUUCGUGAAAUCCCACGGCUUAACUGUGGGCGUGCGGGCGAUACGGGCAGACUGGAGUACUGCAGGGGAGACUGGAAUUCCUGGUGUAGCGGUGAAAUGCGCAGAUAUCAGGAGGAACACCGGUGGCGAAGGCGGUUCUCUGGGCAUGACCUGACGCUGAGGAGCGAAAGUGUGGGGAGCGAACAGG
rnacentral:rRNA from 1 species